UACGUAGGUGGCGAGCGUUGUCCGGAUUUAUUGGGCGUAAAGCGCGCGCAGGCGGUCGCGUAAGUCUGCUGUGAAAUCUCCCUGGCUCAACCGGGAGGGGGCGGCGGAGACUGCGGGACUGGAGGGACCUAGAGGCCGGUGGAAUUCCUGGUGUAGCGGUGAAAUGCGCAGAUAUCAGGAAGAACACCCGUGGCUAAGGCGGCUCUCUAGUACGGUACUGACGCUGAGACGCGAAAGCGUGGGGAGCGAACAGG
rnacentral:rRNA from 1 species